rnacentral:lncRNA from 1 species
GGUACAUGAAAAGCGCUUUAUAAAUCAAAUAUAUUAUUAUUAUUAUUAUUAUUAUCUAAAAGUGCCAAAAAUAAAAGUGAUUAAACAAAAUAAAAAAGACAUUAAAAAGUAUUAAAUAUUGUGAAAAAAUUAUAUAUCUAUGGUUAGUGUAGGCCUAAAUAUUAGUUUGCAUCCAUACAGCAGCAGCAGAAGAAGACGACGAAGAAGAAGAAGAAGAAGAAGAAGAAGAAGAAGAAGAAGACGAGGACGACGAGGAGGACGACGAAGAAGAAGAAGAUGAAGAUGAUGAUGAUGAUCACCUGUUCUCUCAGCAUGGUGUGUGGCACGAGGUAGUGACGUCACUACAGGACCACCGCGGAUUUAACGGACUGAGGACAUUGGCCGGUGCGCAGAUGUUGACUGUUCUGCCAUCGUUCCAUUACUCCAGCAGUCUGUCUCCUCACUGUGACCUUACAUCAGCUUUUAGUUGA